rnacentral:lncRNA from 1 species
GGAGUUGCUUUGUUGCGGCGUUUCCGAUCUAUUUAGAGUUCCGGGUCUUUUGAGAGAUCUUCUUUGUACUCCGCCUUUCGACAUUUUUUUUUUUUGAGAGAUAGGUAGCACGCUACCCGCUUCGUUUAUUUCAUUUAGAAAUAAACUUAGCUAGAAAUGUGAAUCAACUAGGAUUCUUUGUACUCCGCCUUUCGACAUUAAUAAAGUAUUUGCUCCGUCUUCGCCCGUGGACGUAGGCCGUCGGCCGAACCAGGUAAUUAUCGGUGUGCUCUUUUCUUUUCGUUUUUCGUUUCCUACAUUAAAUUAUUUUCUUGAUCUAUUUUUCGUCGUUCCAAUUUUAACAAUAUCCCUACACUAUGUACUUUAGUCCCUCGGCACCUU